UUAUGAAAUGUUAAUUUUCUCUUUGAUCUUGCAGCACUUUUGGAUAAAUAUAUUUGGAACAGAAGACCAUGUGUAAAAAAAGAUGAUUCAAACAGCAUAAUGAAAGCACAUCAACACUUCUUUCUAAAGAGAAAUUGAAUAAACAGCAGAAACCAGAAGAAAAGCUUGACUCAGACAUGAACACUACCACUCUACUUGAGGAUACCAGAAAGGAUCAGCAAGUUUAUGGAGGAGAAAAUGUGAAACAUGAAGAUGACUUACUGAGUCAAGCAACACCCAUCAACUGGCGAGUAGAAAUUAUCAGAACAAGCAACACAGGCACUUUAAAUCAUGUCACAAUGAGAAAAAUACCCUCCUCCGCUUCUCUAAAAGAGGAAAACAUUCAUUAAUAAUGAAUCAGGACUCCUGGUGUCAACACCACAAACCCCUUUAAUGCAUACCUUACAGUAAUUGUAACCAGGCCUAACCAUGAGUCAUUAUUGAACAUUUACAGAUGAUUAUUGAUUAUGUGAGCAGUAAAGAUGAUGACAUUACUGUACAUGGUGUCCCAUACAUUUCCAUACACAGGAAAAAUUUAUCUUUUUUUAUCUAAAAAAUAAUGUUGUCAUGGUAACCAUUUGGAAAUCGGGCAGACCUGACACCUACCACAUGUGAUGUAAAUAACAUUAUUAAAUAUUUGCCGUUUACAAACUGAUACUGAUACUUUGUAUUGGAAUUGUGUCAUUGUCAUGCAGAUGAACAACAUUUUGUCUUAUAGAUGUUUUUAAAACAAAAUGUGAGUUGUGGAAACUUACAUGUUCUUAAUGCUCUGGCAAAACAAGAGCAUUCCCUUUGUUUACUAUGAAAUAAGCUAUUAAAUCAAAGGUUACAAA